UACGUAGGUGGCAAGCGUUGUCCGGAUUUACUGGGCGUAAAGGGCGCGUAGGCGGCCAGCGCAAGUCAGUUUGUGAAAUCUCCGAGCUUAACUCGGAAAGGUCAACUGAUACUGUGCGGCUAGAGUGCGGAAGGGGCAACUGGAAUUCUUGGUGUAGCGGUGGAAUGCGCAGAUAUCAGGAGGAACACCGGUGGCGAAGGCGGUUCUCUGGGCCUUACCUGACGCUGAGGAGCGAAAAGCGUGGGGGAGCGAACAGG
rnacentral:rRNA from 1 species